GCAUCCAGUUGCCAUCGGGCGGAGCCGGGCACUCUGGAGGGACUGCCGGCGAUAAGCCGGAGGAAGUGGGGAUGACGUCAAGUCAUCAUGGCCCUUAUGUCCAGGGCGACACACGUGCUACAAUGGCCGGCACAGCGGGAAGCGGAGGGGCGACCCUGAGCGGAUCCCUUGAAAGCCGGUCCCAGUUCGGAUUGCAGUCUGCAACUCGACUGCAUGAAGUUGGAAUCGCUAGUAAUCGCGGAUCAGCCAAGCCGCGGUGAAUACGUUCCCGGGCCUU
rnacentral:rRNA from 1 species